rnacentral:rRNA from 1 species
AUUUUGUUUAUUAAAAUAAAUAAACAGUACAUCACAUUAUCAAUCCACACUUUGUUUUCAGAAUCGAAUAACGAGCAGACAAACUUCACAAUAUAAUACAUCAUCACUUGCUGAUCCAAGGCAAAACUGCUCUAUUUCAUAAUAUGAAUGGAUUACAAACAGAUUUAUUUUACAGGAGAACCGCUCUAUUCCAAGAGCGAACAAACAACGACGAACACCACAUUAUCUUGACUUCUAUCGAUGCCCGUGCAUCCCUGGGAGCAUCCCUCUGCCCGUGGUCACCGGAGCUGGAGCAACUAGCAGUCACGCCCUCUACCUUUUUUUUCUCCAACGCCGCAGCUCCUCGAGGGGAGUGGACGGGGCCCGCAGCGAAGGGGGAAGUGGACGCGCCGGCGGGCGAGAUGGUGACCGGCGAGGCUGGGACCAGCGGGCGAGCUGUUGGCCAGCGAGACCGGGCGUCGAGGCAGUGGUGGGCGCCGGGGGCGAUGCCGGACGGGGCAGUCAGCGCCGAGCACGACAGUGGCGGGGCCGGAGGCGCGCGGAGGCGGGCGACUGGGCGGUGGAGGCGGGCGGCCGGCCGGAGGCCGCCGGAGUCGCGACUCGGGGGCAGUCGGGCGGAGGCGGGAGGCUUGGAUGGCGGUGGCGUGCGGAGCAGGAUGGAGGCCACCGGAGACGCGCGCAGGCGUGCGCCUGGGCGGCGGCCGGUGGAGUAGGGAUUCCGGGCGGUGGCCGGCAGUGCGCUGAGCCGCGCGGAGGCCAGCGGCGGCCGGGUCCUGCGAGGCAGCGGCGGUUGGUGGUGGAGUGUUGGUGCCUGGCAAGAGGAAUCACGGGUGGGGGUGGUGUCUACAUCUGCGCCAGAGAUAAGGUGGGGCCGGUUGCAUCACAUGGGUAGUGGAGAGAGAACGUGGGGAGUCGAGCGUGCUAGAGAGAUCCUAGAUCGUG